rnacentral:rRNA from 1 species
CCCCAGUUCAGAUUGCAGUCUGCAACUCGACUGCAUGAAGGCGGAAUCGCUAGUAAUCGCCGAUCAGCACGCGGCGGUGAAUACGUUCCCGGGCCUUGUACACACCGCCCGUCACACCAUGGGAGUUAUUUGCACCAGAAGUCGCCAGGCUAACCGCAAGGAGGCAGGCGCCGAAGGUGUGGGUAGCGACUGGGGUGAAGUCGUAACAAGGUAGCCGUAGGGGAACCUGCGGCUGGAUCACCUCCUUU